AGGGUAACCAGAACACCUGAAAGACCCGGAUAGGGGUGGAGCUGGGAGGCGCGCGCUGGGCUCCGUGACGUUCUCGUGCCGCUCGCGGACCGGGCUGGGCCUGAAUGCUUCAACUACACGAAACUCACCACUUUGUUUUGUGAGGAGUCAGCGCUAAUCAGCACCGGCAGCUACCGCCGCUGCGAAGCCUGGCCGCCUCUCAAAGAGAGUCAUUCUAAUUUGGCAGAAAUGCUGACACUGUGGAAGGCAUUUUGACUCAAGUGGCUUUGCUUCCUGCACUAAUGCUUGUCAUCAGCGGCAUGUAGAUUUAUGCAGGCGGACGAGCAUCAUGCAUUGUGAAAUGAUCCAGCAACAUCUCUGCAGUUCGGUUUCUGUACGACAUGCUACCAUGGAGAGGGAGUCAAGACGUUUCCAGCUGAUGCAGGACGAAGAAAUCCGGGUCGAUUCCCAGCUUGAGAGCAACACAAACUGCAUUUAGGGAACUCCGUGCAUCUAUAAUGCUCUACAGGUGCACAUCACAUGGCUCCUCAUCCUCCCCUGGAAGAGAAGGCAAUCUGGAUCAAAAGGCAGCGAGAUGUUUUGUGGUGCAAUCAGCUGUAUGUCUCGGUGGACAGCUGUCAGCAGGAACAUUUCAGAAAGUCUCAGAAAUGUCAGUGCAGGUCUGACAGAAAAGGCAAAACAGGGAGAACAAGUUAAGUAAAUAAAAAACAGGCCAAGAGGAAAGAAUUCAACUUCUUGGCCUUACAUUCUAACCCUGAGUACUGACCCACAAUGAGGAUCAGUUUCAAGGAGUACAAAUUAAAUACAUCUGAAAAAAAUAUAAAACAUCUACAAAGCUUACUAUGUUUUAACUAAUGCCAGCAGUUUAACGGCCCGUCAUGGUGAUGUCACAAAAGCCUUCACUGGCCUUUCAUAAAAUAUUGUCCCAAAAGCCCUCACUGGUCCUUCGCAAAAUAUUGUCGCAAAAGCCCUCACUGGCUCAUCGCAAAAUAUUAAGGUUUGCAAAAAGCCCUCACCAGCCCCUCAUCAAAAGUAGUUCCUCUUCCAUAUCAUCCACAUGCAACGGAGAACCUCAUGUUUGUUAGGCUGGUCAAUUUGAGUAUCUGGAGCUUAGUUUAAAGUUCUACCUUCUAUCACUGCUGACCUGCUGUAUGGUGAAGUAUUCUCAUGUCUUCCAGCUAAUUAGUGACCCCCAUGUCUGUGAUUUUACCAGAGAGUUGUUGAUGAUGAUGGAACCUACUAGAAUUGUGGAGCAUCAUGGAGGAAGCCAAGCUAGGGCCUGGGACAGGAUCUUCUACAUUUAUGUGCACAUUCCCACACCCUGACAUCUCUGAUACUCCGGUGCUUAUAGAGAUGUGUCAUCAUGAGAGGGAUAGUGUUGGAUUAUCAUGAGAGGGUUAGGCCAUCAUGAGAGUGUUGGUGUUAGGUCAUCAUGAGAGGGUUAGACCAUCAUGAGAGGGUUAGGGUUAGGUCAUCAUGAGAGGGUUAGUGUUGGAUUAUCAUGAGAGGGAUAGGCCAUCAUGAGAGGGUUAGUGUUGGAUUAACAUGAGAGGGUUAGGCCAUCAUGAGAGGGUUAAGGCAACUUCAGUUCCUGGUUGAAGGGACUUUAUUCUUUAUUCCCUUCAGUCUGGUGCUAGGACCCCAUGUGACUCCCUCAACAGUUUUUCUAGUCAUUGCCUAACCCAAGCUUUUUAGGAAGAUAAUAAACGCAUGAAAUCGUUACCUAAUGUCAAUUUGAGUGGAUUAAUGACCCAUCCUGCUGGAGGGAGGCCAGCGCUGUCGUCCUGUAAUCUGUCUGCAUGACGGUAAACGGUGAUGCUGAGCUACACAGAUGGAACGUUUGCAGCUUGAAGACGAAAGUAGGGAAACAAAACAGCAGCAUACCAGUGACUGAUAAACCUUUAAUAUAAAAAUUGUACAAGAUUUUUCAUACAAAUUACAAGAGGUAUUUGGACAAAGUCUGAAUAAAAUUCCAUUUACAUCCGAAAACCCUUUUAUGCAUUUUAUGCAAAAACCAUGGACAGGUAUAAUACAAGAAGGAAAAUGUGAGCAAAGAGAAAAGAACCUCCCCCCCCCCCCCCCCCCCGUGUGACUAUGGGAAAAACAUGGCUUCCCACAGAGCUAACAUGACGCAGACGUGGACUCCCUGUUUACCGUGUUUAGGAAGAGUGAUAGAGGACGGCAACGAGGGCAUCCUGCAGGAAACUAGCAAGGUAAUUACACCAAAACAACAACAUGGAGAAUCACUUAUCAUUUUAUUUACAAAAUCAUUCAAGGUUGUUUUUAUCCAUUGGGGGAGAUGCUUUGUAGGUUAGACUGUAGGUCUGCACUGGGCCUCGACUAGCCAUGGGUUAGAUUAACAGUGCCGUUUGUAGGAGGAGCUCGGGUUCAAAGAAUGACUCAAAGUCAGAAACUCGUCUAAAGUUUCAUUCACAAAUAAAUAUUUGUAUGAUUCCUGCAUAGGAAUAAUGCAGAUAUGUACAUAAUUUUAGUAACCAUAUUCCCUGCACCAAACACGUAGAGUUCUGGGACUACUGCUAGUCAACGAAUCACGUUGCGGUAUGGGGCAGGGAUUUCAGUGGUAGAGAGUAUUAAGAAUGCUGUAAGAGUGCUGUGCGUGUUCUGUGAGGGUACUGAGGGGGCACCGCGUUCUGCGGGUCCAUUCCCCCAUGGUGGCCAGCACGAGACUCCCUGCCUCAAUUACUGUCUGGCGUCUCACAUUGACUUUCUGUACCAAUCUGUCAUUAUUAGCACUGUUAUAAUAAUAAAAUGAUAAUGAGCUUCUAAGGAAAACAGCCGAGGUGAGUGAGAGGCAAUGGUAAUGGCAAUGGCACAGGAGGCUCAAGCUUUCCCCCACAGUGUUCUGAAGGCUUCUAUUUUCUGACCCAAGUCGAUGAAACACUCUGUAAGUUAGCAGACUGCAAAAUGGCAAUUAUGAGUCUGCAAUAAUACCGGAAAUAGGUGAAUAAUAGUCAUAAGAGACCGAGCACACCAGAGAGCCUGUCGUCACUGUUUGCUUUGUGCUACAUGUCCUCACACUGUCCCUCCCGCCUCAUGGUGAUGACAAUGAGGUGAUGGAACAGGACGACGGUUCCCAAAUCGCGGUGUCGGUCUCUAUUAAGUAACAGGAACUGCCCAUUCACGCAGAGAACAACAGGAACCAUUAAAGUUUAAAGUAGAAUCACUGUAGGUGUUCUCAAUCCUUUAAAUAAAUAUUUGACAGGGAGUCCUUUCAGUGUCAGCUCUGUGAUUAGCAUGUUCAUCUGACUGCCUCCUGGAACUGGCCUGAUUUGUGAAUGCUUCCUGUGGUUGGCAUGAUCAUGUGACUGCCUCCUGUGAUUGACAUGAUCAUGUGACUGCCUCCUGUGA